UACGUAGGGGGCGAGCGUUGUCCGAAUUUACUGGGCGUAAAGCGCGCGUAGGCGGACUAUUAAGUUGGGGGUGAAAUCCCGGGGCUCAACUCCGGAACUGCCUUCAAAACUGUUAGUCUUGAGGCAUGGAGAGGGAAGUGGAAUUCCUGGUGUAGCGGUGAAAUGCGUAGAUAUCAGGAGGAACACCCGUGGCGAAGGCGGCUUCCUGGCCAUGUCCUGACGCUGAGGUGCGAAAGCCAGGGUAGCGAAC
rnacentral:rRNA from 1 species